rnacentral:rRNA from 1 species
GAUGAACGCUGGCGGCGUGCCUAAUACAUGCAAGUCGAGCGAACAGAUGAGGAGCUUGCUCCUCUGACGUUAGCGGCGGACGGGUGAGUAACACGUGGAUAACCUACCUAUAAGACUGGGAUAACUUCGGGAAACCGGAGCUAAUACCGGAUAAUAUAUUGAACCGCAUGGUUCAAUAGUGAAAGACGGUUUUGCUGUCACUUAUAGAUGGAUCCGCGCCGCAUUAGCUAGUUGGUAAGGUAACGGCUUACCAAGGCAACGAUGCGUAGCCGACCUGAGAGGGUGGUCGGCCACACUGGAACUGAGACACGGUCCAGACUCCUACGGGAGGGAGCAGUAGGGAAUCUUCCGCAAUGGGGGGAAGGCUGACGGGGCAACGCCGCGUGAGGGAUGAAAGGCUUCGGAUCGUAAAACUCUGUUUUUAGGGAAAAAAAAAUGUGUAAGUAACUAUGCCCGUCUUGACGGUACCUAAUCAGAAAGCCACGGCUAACUACGUG